rnacentral:rRNA from 1 species
UAGCAUAUCAAUAAGCGGAGGAAAAGAAACCAACAGGGAUUGCCCUAGUAACGGCGAGUGAAGCGGCAACAGCUCAAAUUUGAAAUCUGGCUCUUUCAGAGUCCGAGUUGUAAUUUGCAGAGGGCGCUUUGGCAUUGGCAGCGGUCUAAGUUCUUUGGAACAGGACGUCACAGAGGGUGAGAAUCCCGUAUGUGGUCGCUAGCCUUUGCUGUGUAAAGCCCCUUCGACGAGUCGAGUUGUUUGGGAAUGCAGCUCUAAAUGGGAGGUAAAUUUCUUCUAAAGCUAAAUACUGGCCAGAGACCGAUAGCGCACAAGUAGAGUGAUCGAAAGAUGAAAAGCACUUUGGAAAGAGAGUCAAAUAGCACGUGAAAUUGUUGAAAGGGAAGCGCUUGCAGCCAGACUUGCCUGUAGUUGCUUAUCCGGACUUUUGUCCGGUGCACUCUUCUGCGGGCAGGCCAGCAUCAGUUUGGGCGGUUGGAUAAAGGUCUCUAUCACGUACCUCUCUUCGGGGAGGCCUUAUAGGGGAGACGUCAUGCAACCAGCCUGGACUGAGGUCCGCGCAUCUGCUAGGAUGCUGGCGUAAUGGCUGUAAGCGGCCCGUCUUGAAACACGGACCAAGGAGUCUAACAUCUAUGCGAGUGUUUGGGUGUCAAGCCCAUACGCGUAAUGAAAGUGAACGGAGGUGGGAACCCUUUGGGUGCACCAUCGACCGAUCCUGAUGUCUUCGGAUGGAUUUGAGUAAGAGCAUGGCUGUUGGGACCCGAAAGAUGGUGAACUAUGCUUGAAUAGGGUGAAGCCAGAGGAAACUCUGGUGGAGGCUCGCAGCGGUUCUGACGUGCAAAUCGAUCGUCAAAUUUGGGCAUAGGGGCGAAAGACUAAUCGAACUAUCUAGUAGCUGGUUCCUGCCAAG